rnacentral:rRNA from 1 species
UACGAAGGGGGCUAGCGUUGUUCGGAAUUACUGGGCGUAAAGCGCACGUAGGCGGAUAUUUAAGUCAGGGGUGAAAUCCCAGAGCUCAACUCUGGAACUGCCUUUGAUACUGGGUAUCUUGAGUAUGGAAGAGGUAAGUGGAAUUGCGAGUGUAGAGGUGAAAUUCGUAGAUAUUCGCAGGAACACCAGUGGCGAAGGCGGCUUACUGGUCCAUAACUGACGCUGGAGGUAGCGAAAGCGUAGGGAGCUAAACAGG